rnacentral:hammerhead_ribozyme from 1 species
AGUUGGCUGACAAGUCCUAAAUAGGACGAAAUGAGCAUCCUAAAU